AACAAACGCUGGCGGCGUGCCUAAUACAUGCAAGUCGAACGGGGAAAGUUCUUCGGAAUGAGUACUAGUGGCGUACGGGUGAGCAACACGUGGAUAAUCUUCCUUCAGGUGGGGAAUAACGAGUCGAAAGAUUCGCUAAUACCGCAUAAGUCCACAGUAACUUUGGUUACAGGGGUUAAAGACUUCGGUCGCCUUUAGAUGAGUCUGCGUCCGAUUAGCUAGUUGGUGAGGUAAUGGCUCACCAAGGCGACGAUCGGUAACUGGUCUGAGAGGACGGCCAGUCACACUGGGACUGAGACACGGCCCAGACUCCUACGGGAGGCAGCAGUAGGGAAUUUUGCACAAUGGAGGAAACUCUGAUGCAGCGACGCCGCGUGAGUGAUGAAGGCCUUCGGGUCGUAAAGCCCUGUCUCAGGGAAUAAAAAAUAGAAGGUACCUGAGGAGAAAGGACCGGCGUAACUUCGUGCCAGCAGCCGCGGUAAU
rnacentral:rRNA from 1 species